ACACGAGUGGGUUUUAUCUCAUGGUGGUGUGAAUCAUUGUUUGCAUGGAGAGAUAACUGAGGAGAAGAGAACGAAACCAUGGCUUUCACCUACAGAGCAUGCAUCCUGAAGGAUUUGGCAACUGUAGUGUUGGACAAAAGGCUUCUAAAUAAUGGCGGAUACUACUUAAAAUUUAGAAGUACAGCUGAAUUAGAAGGAUUUCACCAGCAUCUCUUUAUGUAGUGCUCUAAGAGAUUUGUGUACAGUCCCCCGUUGUAUCGAGCAAGAAACAGGCUUGCAGCUUUAAACCAAAGCAUGAAUGUGGACCGCUCAGUACAGAAAAACAAAGACAGGACAAUAAGGUGCCACAGAGUUUUCAACAAAAAAAGUGGAAGAUGGACUGUUCAUGCAGUUAAAACAAGGAAACAAUACCAUUAUGUUAAUUCGCUUUUGGCACGUGCUUUAAUCAUGCGGAUUCAUGAUAAAGUUGGAAUGAAAAUGACCACUUUAGCUUCUGAUGAUCCCCACGUGAUAUCAAAAUAUCUGGCAGCCCAGGAACCACGCCCUACUGAGGAGCUUGAUAGACAACAGAAGUCAAGAUUUCCUGAAUAGUUCAUCUAUUCAAAAACCUCUAUGAACAUGAUGAAGGGAGAGAUCAAUGUCGAAUAAAAAUCUAAACUAAUUUUUUUUUUGGGGGGGGGGGUGUUAAACCCUGUAAGUUUACGUCUUCGAACAUCAAUUUUGAUAGACACAUUAAUAUCAUUUUCAACAUUCUACGUACUUAGUAUUCAGGGGGGGGGGGGUCUUGAUGAAACACGAUUUGUUAUGAGACAUUGAACUUUAAAUCUUGCCCUUAUAUAUAUGCAAUAUGUAGAAUUUGAUUUUCCAUGAACUAGUACAUCAGAUUCCUUCAAGUAAAGAGUCUUUUAAUACCAUGUCAAAUACAUUCAUAAUACUAACUUGUGUCAAAUUUUAAACAAAUAUUUAUUUAAUAUCUCUUAAUGUCCAUUUGCUGUAAAUGAUACUCUAGGUGUGUCAGACGAAAUUCAUAGUGUAUGUUUCAUUUGUGAAGCUUUGUGGAUUUAUGUUUUAGAGUUGUGACAUUGACCAACCAAAUGAUAAUCGUUUUAA